UACAGAGGGUGCGAGCGUUAAUCGGAAUUACUGGGCGUAAAGCGCGCGUAGGCGGCUUUGUAAGUCGGAUGUGAAAUCCCCGGGCUUAACCUGGGAACUGCAUUCGAGACUGCAUAGCUUGAGUAUGGGAGAGGGAGGCGGAAUUUCCGGUGUAGCGGUGAAAUGCGUAGAUAUCGGAAGGAACAUCAGUGGCGAAAGCGGCCUCCUGGACCAAUACUGACGCUCAUGUGCGAAAGCGUGGGGAGCAAACAGG
rnacentral:rRNA from 2 species